AAAUUGAAGAGUUUGAUCAUGGCUCAGAUUGAACGCUGGCGGCAGGCCUAACACAUGCAAGUCGAACGGUAACAGGAAGCAGCUUGCUGCUUUGCUGACGAGUGGCGGACGGGUGAGUAAUGUCUGGGAAACUGCCCGAUGGAGGGGGAUAACUACUGGAAACGGUAGCUAAUACCGCAUAACGUCGCAAGACCAAAGAGGGGGACC
rnacentral:rRNA from 1 species